GGAUACUACUAUCUAUGUUUCACAGUGUUGAGAAGAUUAAAUAAUCCCAUGUAUGCGAAGUCCUUCAGAUAGUCCCUGGCAUACAGUAAGAGCGCAUACCUACAUCACCAUGAUCAAGAUCACCACUGAAUGAACCAUGUCAUCUUUACUGUCAUGCUCUUUGUUUUAUACACAAAAUCUGACAACACUAGUAUUACAUGAGUCUUUCAGAGUCAAAACUCAAUAUUUGUCCUAAAUCUAAACUUCAUUUAAAUCUCACCUCCACCAUAGAAAGGAUGAAAGUAAGCCACGUUAACACAAUUCCUCCUCCCCGUGGCACAGUUUCAGAAAUUUCUCCAAACAUAUAUUAAUUAUUUUAAAUUCAGGAAAAUCAACAACUUGGCAUGAUUUCUAAACAAUCGGAUGUUCCACUUAAUUACCAGAUAAUUUUAGAACUAAAAUGAAAUGAUCUAGACCAAACAUUCAUGGUAUAAGGCACAUAAUGGUUAAGAGGCAUGCCCAUAGCCGCUCUGCAAGUCAGACUGGCACAAGUCUCCUGACCACACUAUGCCAGGCUAUCUUCACUGUAGAUGCAUCAGGUAACCUACACUAUGCAAAAGAGCUUCCAUUUCUCAUGUUAAAUAGUGUGCUAUCAAGGACCGUCCAGGCUUUCCUUCUUAACAAAUAUUUUUACACAAAACACUCAAUUCUUUUGAGUUUCCAACAAAACAAAAAGACACUAAAAACACUAGCUUAGGUAUUUUAGCUCAAAUAAUAUUUCACAUAACAGAAUUUAAAAAUGUUUUAUGUGUAAACACUAUCAAGUCAUUAUGUAUAUCUAAAGCAUAUAAAUUAUACACAUUCUACAGUAAUAUUUAACAGUCCUGUAUGUUACUAAAAAUUCUGAAUACCAAAGCAAUUAAUUGACUCAGAUUCCAAAAAGAUAACUGUAGAAUAUAAGUGGCUUUUUUACUGAUGACGUAGUUUAUUUUCCAAAACAAUUAAAAAUAAUUCUUAUGAUGUUCAUCUAAGUGUAUCAUUCACACACUCAUCUUCCACCAUCUAAAACACCAGCCUUCCUUUUCCUAAAAUAAAUUUAUGUUUGGAGAAAAGGUUUUGAUAAGAGAUUUUUUUUCCAGCCUGGAAUUUGAUAAGCUUAUCAGUUUGAGAUAAACUCCAGUUUCACAAACUGGCUAGAAAAUUCAAUGUCAUUCUAGGGACAACAUGAAUUCUAAUAUUAUCAGCUUUAUUUGUAUAUUCUCCAAUUCUUGUUAUAUGCAAGUGAUAAGAAUUCCUUUAAGUUGUCUGCCUCGGCAACCAGGUCCCCUUGGUGAAGGAGUUUGUUAGCCUUGGGUCCUGUUGCUUCUUUGAGUAGACUCUAAAAUGUAUCCAGUUCAGGGCAGAAGCUUCCAUAUCAGGACUUUGCUUAUUGUUGUUUGUUUCUUUGCCCCAUUCCCCACCCCACCCCUUUAAACCUGUUUAUUUUUGCAAAUGGAAAACAUCAGCGAAUCUAAGCUUAAAAGAAAAGAAUAGGCAGUUAUAAAAACAUCUGCCAUAACCAAGAUUAUUCUAUUAUCUCCUUCAAUUUCCAGGUGCAAAAAGAAAUAAACCUCAGCUUUUCUAAAUUUCUGUUUCAUGUCAUUGCAUUUUUCAAAAGAAACACAAAAUAUGGAAAGGCUACUACUUGGUUCUUAUUAGGAAGAAAACAGAACAAAGCAGGGUUAAAAAUAAAACCACAAAAUCAAACUAGUAAGAUCAAGAAAGAACUAAAGACAAGCAACAAAGUCUAUAAUUUCCAAAGAAGAUUCACUCUGGAAUAUUUUUCUUCACUUCUCUUUAGAAAGUUGUCAAAGUUGGCCAGGUGCGGUGGCU
rnacentral:lncRNA from 1 species